CUUGUGUCGCACUAGGAGCUAAAGUCAUAGGAUUAGCUGCAGCAUUCUUAUGUAACUCAGCUCCUUAGAAGACAGGAAGUGGUGCCAGGCUGCCAGUUAGGAAUAACAGCCUCACAUGGCACCCAGGCUGGAGCAGCAGUGAGAGAGACGUGGGCCCUCGGGGAACACAGUGCAGUGUGCUACUGCUGCCUAUAGCACACUGCACUGCCACAAAUAGCCAUACGGGCUAUUUUUAGCUCUCCCAUACUGCAGCAGCGCUACCUGGACAAAGAGACAUAACCCCAAACUGUUCAAGCCACAGGGAGAGCACGCUUAGGAUGUCAGCUUGCUCCGCUCCCCCGCUCAUUCCGUCUGCAGACCAGGGACGCUGUCCUCACUGCUUCCCCCUCGACCAGCAGCCUCAGACUGGGCCGGGCAUUGGACCUUGAUGGAGAACCCUACAGAAGUCCAAGAGAGACAAAACAGUCAGAAAGAAGCUGAAAUCUGGUUAUUUUGGAUAAUCUGACAAAAUGAUAAAAACUCCAGUAUCUUGAGCUAAGGUUCAUAGAUGCUGCACGAGGAGGUUUCUUUGUGUCUAAUAUGCUAAAGGCCUGAUUUUUUUUGCUUUUGGCCCGGUUGAAUCACAUGUGAAAGGUUGAAAGUCUCCCCAGUUGAGAGACAAAGUUAAACCCCUGGCUUAAUGUCUGGAGCUCUCUGAUACUUGACCAGCGCUGCAGCUGCCACACCUGCUGCCAGCAGCUGUCUUUUUAAACAAAUUCACACCACCAACUCGCAGGCAAAAGUCCUGCAUCUUAAAUUACAAAAGGCUUCGUCUUAGUAUCAUUUUUCCCAGUCAUUUAUCUUCUGUGUAUGACAGCCAAGGAGCAGACCUUUUAAUUUAAGCACUUUAAGUCAUAUCAGAUAUAAUGAGACUCUUUCUUGCCUAAUUUUGCAUUAGGAUGACUCAGUAUUCAGCGCUGGCUCUGUGAUCUGACAGACAAAAAAAAAAAAAAGCAUUAUUUUCACCUAUUGUACCAUAAGUUUUGUUUGAAUACAUUGGUGUUCAUUAUAUUAAAUGCAUAAACUUGUAUUCCUAAUUCAAGGCAACAGAAAUGUGUAUUAUAAUAAGUAUAAUAAUGUUACCACAAUGUGAUCUUUUAAGUGAGGCUACAUUUGAACCAGAUUUCUGAGCAAACCAGAGUUAACAUUCACACAGCUGUGUCCCACAGUCCUGGACCACCUUAAAUAUAUCUGAUGCCGAAAGAUAAAUUGUUAAUAAAUAAUUCACUAAUGCUUUCCAGAUCAGUUAUAAGCCAUGAAUUAAAACCGCUUGGGCUACCAGCUUGUGGAAAAACC